rnacentral:misc_RNA from 1 species
GAAAUGCGAUAAGUAAUGUGAAUUGCAGAAUUCAGUGAAUCAUCGAAUCUUUGAACGCACAUUGCGCCCGCUAGUAUUCUGGCGGGCAUGCCUGUUCGAGCGUCAUUUCAACCAUCAAGCCCUAGGCUUGUGUUGGGGGCCUGCAGCCGCUGCAGCCCACUAAAAGCAGUGGCGGGCUCGCUGUCAUUCCGAGCGCAGUAGUUACAUCUCGCUCUGGGCGUGGCAGCGUCGCGGUGAUCCGCUAAGCCAGAGCGUAUGGGGACGCUACAGUCACACGCUCGCGGCGCGGACCGGCGCUGGCCGACCCCCCUAACCAUUCUACGGUUUGACCUCGGAUCAGGUAGGGAUACCCGCUGAACUUAAGC